rnacentral:rRNA from 1 species
UCAGGUAGCCCAAAUACCCUGAAACCACCAGAUCCUAACUGAUCUCAGAAAUUAAGAAAGGUCAGGCUUAGUUAGUACUUGGAAAGGACACUGCCAGGAAACACCUGGUACUGUGAA